UACGGGGGGGGCAAGCGUUGUUCGGAAUUACUGGGCGUAAAGGGCUCGUAGGCGGCCAACUAAGUCAGACGUGAAAUCCCUCGGCUUAACCGGGGAACUGCGUCUGAUACUGGAUGGCUUGAGAUUGGGAGAGGGAUGCGGAAUUCCAGGUGUAGCGGUGAAAUGCGUAGAUAUCAAGAGGAACACCUGAGGUGAAGACGGGUUGCUAGGCUGACACUGACGCUGAGGCGCGAAAGCCAGGGGAGCAAACGGG
rnacentral:rRNA from 1 species